ACAUUGGAUAUAUAUUGCCAAGACUUAGAGUUCUUGUUAUGAUCCAGGUGGUGUGCCCAAGGCCCAGGAGACCAAGGCUAAGGCCAAGGUCCACCAUUCAUGAGGGCUUCAUGGAGACUCUAGGGCUAGUUGGGCCCUAGGUUGAAAGGCUGUGGGCCUUUCGGGUACUUGAGGUCUAGGUUAUGUGGGCCUCAAGGGACCAACUCUUUAUGGGCCAGGUCUGGGCCCAAGAUAGGU
rnacentral:lncRNA from 1 species